rfam:Glycine soja cultivar W05 scaffold3488_35, whole genome shotgun sequence.
UUAUGAUGAUUGUCAUGUGUCAUGUUCUGAUUGGUCAAUAAAAACAACAAUACAUUUCAUCUUUUAUGGAGUUGACAUGUCAUGUUAUUUUUAUUAAUUAAUCAGAUCAUGACACGUGACACCAUCACUU